ACUGAAAGUCAUCAGUUGAAAUUAGUUUGUUGCAGCAGUCACUUCGGGAGCAAAUCGCCAUAAACAUGAAACUAACCAUUCUAUUCACGUUGCUAAUGCUGCUUAUUGGGGUAGCCUUCUCGUUUCCUGUGGAAGGAACCGACUCCUUGGCUGAACCAAAGCAAGAAGAGCCCCAAUCAGCCAAAGUAGACCACACACAUCAUAGAUGCUCCGGUGAGCAUUCUGGUUCGGAGGAAAGCAAAGAAGAUAAAGCCAACGUCGCCCACUAAAUGGACGAAAGGGGCCGCACGCAUUUCCAUGGAAGGAAUUGAUUUGGAGGAAAUUUUGAUAAAGCUUCAAUAAUUUAUGGUUAAUUGAAUAAAGCAUUUAAAUUUGGAAUUAGGUACUUGCUUUUACCAUCAAACUCAACAGAGGUCACCACAUAAGUCUGUGGAGAAAUCGCAGUACGUAUAUUUUCGGAAAACAGCUCGGAAAACAGGGGCCUAAUUGAAAAGGUUAAAACAAAGCGUUUUUCGUAAGAACGCUUGCAUGAAAACAGUCGUAUUAACUUGGUACCAUAAUGUGGCCCCAGGUGAUUUCUCUAUAGGGCUCUAAAACCCGCCAUCUUGGAAAAAAGGCUUGAGGAUGCAGAUUUCAAAAUAUUGCACGGCGAGGCAUAGGAUUGAAAUGUUAAAAUGCUUAUAUUUCUCAAAUAAUAUUUUUUUUUAUAAUUUUGGAGUAAAACUCAAGGGCUACUCAAUAGACGUAUUAUAUUAAAUAUUCGAAGAUUUUCCAAAUAUUUGAUAAAAGUGGUUCAAAUAGUAUCACUCAAAUCAAUUUAAAGUAAUUAUUUUGAAAACUAUAAGCAUUUUAAAUCUUUUGUCACAUACCUUGCCAUGCAAUAUUUUGAAAUCUCCUCAUCAUCAUUACCAAGUCUUUUUUCAAGAUCGCAGGUUUUAUUGGCCUAUGACUAUCGUUUCUUUCGGUGCACAAAUUUCUACGUUUUGUUCUAUCAAGCUUUCCACGCUCGGUAAUGGUAGUUAGAGUCGGUGUAUAAUGAGUCACGCCAAAAGUACAGCCAUGCCUACAUAUUGAACUGUUAAACCGGCUACCUAUCGUGCAAAUUAAAUAAAAAAUCCGAUUUUUUGAAAUCUCCAUGAAAGGUAUAAAAUGUAAAAUAUAAUCGAAAAAAUGACCAUAACACGUAGUGAGUAUGAUACUUUGACUAGUGCGGAGGCAAAUAUUAGCCGUAUAAUCCUAUUUUCGCCUGUAUAAGUUGUAUAAGAAUCUUUCGAAAGCCAUGA